GGACUUUUUCCCCUUUUCUCAGUACUUCUCUCUCCUGCCACCAUGUGAAGGAGGAUGUGUUUGCUUCCUCUUCCACCAUGAUUACCACAACCAAUUGCUGUUCCUUCCCGUUGAAAGAAACCCAGGCUGUACCUGCUCUUUCAUCUCCUGUGUGGAAAACAUCUAUCGGCUGGAAGCGCUAAGACUUCAUUUUCAAGGAUUUUAGUUGUAAGCUGUUCAAGAUAUGAUGUCAUCCCUAUUCGGAUGCCUGUGAGCUUGCACACUCAAGUACGGGUAUACACAUACACAGAAGCAGCAAUGGUAGAAAUAUGACACAUAUCAGUUGGGAAAACUGGAUAUACACAAACAGAAGAAUGAAAUUGGACCCUUAUCUCACACCAAAUGCAAAAAUCAACUCAAACUGGACUAAAGACUUAAACAUAAGACCUGAAACUGUAAAACUAAUAGAAGAAAACGUACAGUAUAGCUCCAUGACAUUAAUCUAGGCAAUGAUUUUUUUUGGACAUGAUCCCGAAAGUAUAGACAACAAAAGCAGAAAUAUAUAAAAUGGAAUUGUAUUAAACUAAAAAGCUCCAUAUA